rnacentral:lncRNA from 1 species
CUCCAUAUUUAAAUUAAAUUAUUGGCACUCAUUAAGGAUGUGAAUGUAUUCCUUCAUACAAUUGUUUCGAUAUCAUCCAUGAAAUAGAAGAACAUACUUUGUGAGUUUAUUAAAACAGAAGACAAGAAUGCUCGGGCGUGCGCAUGUCAUAAGAUAUCAUAAACCGUUGACAGCAUAUUACCUCUCUUGAUUACAAUAAGUAAUCCCUUAUUGUUACACUUAGACUCUUAAGAAUAAACUACCAGUAUAUAUUCAAAAUGUAAAUUAACGUAAAUCCUGUUAUAUUUUUUAUGUGAUUUCGUGUUUACAGAUGGUAAGGUUGCCACAGAAUUUAAAAUUCA